rnacentral:rRNA from 1 species
AUUGAACGCUGGCGGCAGGCUUAACACAUGCAAGUCGAACGAGUGGGGGACGGGAGAGUAAUGCUUGGGAAUCUAGCUUAGGGAGGGGGAACACGACGGGAAACUGUAGCUAAUACCGUGCACAAUAGGAUGAGCCCAAGUGGGAUUAGGGUGUUGGUGAGGUAAAGGCUCACCCAGCCGCCGAUCUCUAGCGGGCCUGAGAGGAUGACCAGCCACAAUGGGACUGAGACACGGCCCAGACGCCUACGGGAGGCAGCAGUGGGGAAUAUUGCACAAUGGGGGCAAGCCUGACGCAGCCAUGCCGCGUGUAGGAAGAAGGCCUUCGGGUUGUAAAGUACUUUCAGUCGGGAGGCGUUACCGACAGAAGAAGCACCGGCUAACUCCGUGCCAGCAGCCGCGGUAAUUC